UGGGGGAUAUUGCACAAUGGAGGAAACUCUGAUGCAGCAACGCCGCGUGAGGGAAGAAGGUUUUCGGAUUGUAAACCUCUGUUUUUAGUGAAGAAACAAAUGACGGUAGCUAAAGAGGAAGCCACGGCUAACUACGUGCCAGCAGCCGCGGUAAUACGUAGGUGGCAAGCGUUGUCCGGAAUUACUGGGUGUAAAGGGUGCGCAGGCGGGAUUGCAAGUUGGAUGUGAAAUACCGGGGCUUAACCCCGGAGCUGCAUCCAAAACUGUAGUUCUUGAGUGGAGUAGAGGUAAGCGGAAUUCCGAGUGUAGCGGUGAAAUGCGUAGAUAUUCGGAGGAACACCAGUGGCGAAGGCGGCUUACUGGGCUCUAACUGACGCUGAGGCACGAAAGCAUGGGUAGCAAACAGGAUUAGAUACCCUGGUAGUCCAUGCUGUAAACGAUGAAUGCUAGGUGUGGGGGGACUGACCCCCUCCGUGCCGCAGUUAACACAAUAAGUAUUCCACCUGGGGAGUACGACCGCAAGGUUGAAACUCAAAGGAAUUGACGGGGGCCCGCACAAGCAGUGGAUUAUGUGGUUUAAUUCGAAGCAACACGAAGAACCUUACCAAGUCUUGACAUCCCUUGACGAUGCUGGAAACAGCAUUUCUCUUCGGAGCAAGGAGACAGGUGGUGCAUGGUUGUCGUCAGCUCGUGUCGUGAGAUGUUGGGUUAAGUCCCGCAACGAGCGCAACCCUUAUGGUCAGUUACUACGUAAGAGGACUCUGGCCAGACUGCCGUUGACAAAACGGAGGAAGGUGGGGAUGACGUCAAAUCAUCAUGCCCUUUAUGACCUGGGCUACACACGUACUACAAUGGCGUUUAACAAAGAGAAGCAAGACCGCGAGGUGGAGCAAAACUCAAAAACAACGUCUCAGUUCAGAUUGCAGGCUGCAACUCGCCUGCAUGAAGUCGGAAUUGCUAGUAAUCGCGGAUCAGCAUGCCGCGGUGAAUACGUUCCC
rnacentral:rRNA from 1 species